rnacentral:rRNA from 1 species
AAUUAAGCCAUGCAUGUGUAAGUAUAACUAAUUAAACUUUAAAACUGCGAAUGGGCUCAUUAUAUCAGUUAUAGUUUAUUUGAUGCAAUCUACUACUUGGAUAACCGUAGUAAUUCUAGAGCUAAUACAUGGAUAAAGUCCUCAACGUGUAUGUGAGGUGUAUAUAUUAGAAUGAAUGCCUAGUAGACUUAUAUCUAUUCGUGAGUAAUAUAUAACUUAUCAUAUCUGCAUGCUUAGGUAAGAUAUGUCUUUCCUGCUUCUAGCCCUAUCUCCAUGCGAUGGUAGUGUAUUGGACGACCAUGGCGGUAACGGGUAACUAAGAAUUUCGAUUUCGAUAUACGGAGAGGGAGCCUGAGAUAUGGCUUCCACAUCCGGGGAAGGGAGCGUGCGCUACCCUUACCCGAUCCUGACACGUGGAGGCAAUGACUCUAAAUGACAAUGCGGAACUAUUGCUUUUGCAUUGGGAUUGACAACCACGUACUAUCCUUAUCCAUUAGCAAUUGGAGGGCGAGGCUGGCGCCCGCGGCCGCGCCAAUUCCAGCUCCGAUAACGAAUAUUAACGUUGUU